rnacentral:rRNA from 1 species
CCUACGGGUGGCAGCAGUGAGGAAUAUUGGUCAAUGGGCGCGAGCCUGAACCAGCCAAGUAGCGUGAAGGAUGACUGCCCUCCGGGUUGUAACCUUCUUUUAUAAAGGAAUAAAGUGAGGCUCGUGUGCCUUUUUGUAUGUACUUUAUGAGUAAGGAUAGGCUAAAUCCGUGCCAGCAGCCGCGGCAAUACGGAGGAUCCGAGCGUUAAUCGGAUUUGUUGGGUGUAAAGUGAGCGUAGAUGGGUUGUUAAGUCAGUUGUGAAAGUUUGCGGCUCAACCGUAAAAUUGCAAUUGAUACUGGCAGCCUUGAGUACAGUUGAGGUAGGCGGAAUUCGUGGUGUAGCGGUGAAAUGCUUAGAUAUCACGAAGAACUCCGAUGGCGAAGGCAGCUUACUAAACUGCCACUGACAUUGAUGAUCGAAAGUGUGGGUAUCAAACAGGAUUAGAUACCCUAGUAGUC